GACGCCUUCUUGCCCCGCACCUGGGAGGUGAACUCAUGUGAAAGCACCUCUGAACUCUGAGUCUCCAAUGAGCAAGGACAACACCAGUGAGUGUUAAUGACGCUGUGCCUUAAACAUGAUAGUUAAG